rnacentral:tRNA from 1 species
CCUCUUGUAGCUCAGUUGGUUAGAGCACCCGUUUAGUAAGCAGGAGGUCUUGAGUUCAACUCUCAACAAGAGCA